rnacentral:sRNA from 1 species
GGAACGCUCUCUGAGACGUGGGCGUUAUUUUGGACCGAAUAGAAGUAGGAUCUAAACUGAUUUAAGUGGAGUUAGUAAGUGAACCUGGAGUAGAAAGCUAUUAGAGGAAGCAACAUAACCUCGCAUUAGGGCGAACACUGCUAUCCAGGUAAGGGAAGCUUAUAUGUUUAAUUUAUACUGUAUGAUUAUAUGAUCGGAUGUGCAAGUAUGAACUGUAUGAUGUUUGAGCUGUAUGGACGACCACUGUUAUGGAAUCUGGUUUCUGAUUUUGAUUGAUCUGCAUGUUGGUUUGAUACGUAUGAAAAAUGGAUGUUUUAUUGUGUGAAGUAAAUCUGAAUGUUGAGG